GAAACUUGUGCUAAUACCGGAUAAGCCCUUCGGGGGAAAGAUUUAUCGCCUUUGGAGCGGCCCGCGUCUGAUUAGCUUGUUGGUGAGGUAAUGGCUCACCAAGGCUACGAUCAGUAGCUGGUCUGAGAGGAUGGCCAGCCACACUGGGACUGAGACACGGCCCAGACUCCUACGGGAGGCAGCAGUGGGGAAUCUUGCGCAAUGGGCGAAAGCCUGACGCAGCCAUGCCGCGUGGAUGAUGAAGGUCUUAGGAUUGUAAAAUCCUUUCACCGGGGACGAUAAUGACGGUACCCGGAGAAGAAGCCCCGGCUAACUUCGUGCCAGCAGCCGCGGUAAUACGAAGGGGGCUAGCGUUGCUCGGAAUUACUGGGCGUAAAGGGCGCGUAGGCGGACAGUUAAGUUGGGGGUGAAAGCCCGGGGCUCAACCUCGGAAAUGCCUUCAAUACUGGCUGUCUUGAGUACGGGAGAGGUGAGUGGAACUCCGAGUGUAGAGGUGAAAUUCGUAGAUAUUCGGAA
rnacentral:rRNA from 1 species